AUUCCAGCUCCAAUAGCGUAUAUUAAAGUUGUUGCGGUUAAAAAGCUCGUAGUUGGAUUUCUGCCGAGGACGACCGGUCCGCCCUCUGGGUGAGUAUCUGGCUCGGCCUGGGCAUCUUCUUGGAGAACGUAACUGCACUUGACUGUGUGGUGCGGUAUCCAGGACUUUUACUUUGAGGAAAUUAGAGUGUUUCAAGCAGGCACACGCCUUGAAUACAUUAGCAUGGAAUAAUAAUAUAGGACCUCGGUUCUAUUUUGUUGGUUUCUAGAGCUGAGGUAAUGAUUAAUAGGGAUAGUUGGGGGCAUUAGUAUUUAUCAGCUAGAGGUGGAAUUCUCUAAUUUGAUAAAGACUAACUUAUGCGAAAGCAUUUGCCAAGGAUGUUUUCAUUA
rnacentral:rRNA from 1 species